AGCUCCAAUAGCGUAUAUUAAAGUUGUUGCAGUUAAAAAGCUCGUAGUUGGAUUUGUGGCGUACGGUGGGUUCCGGGCACUUGUUGUCUGAGUGACUUGCCGUUGCCAUCCUUGGGUGGAACCUGUGUGGCAUUAGGUUGUCGUGCAGGGGAUGCCCAUCAUUUACUGUGAAAAAAUUAGAGUGUUCAAAGCAGGCUUAUGCCGUUGAAUAUAUUAUAUUAGCAUGGAAUAAUAAGAUAGGACUUGUUUGCUAUUUUGUUGGUUUGCGCAAAUAGGUAAUGAUUAAUAGGGACAGUUGGGGGUAUUCGUAUUCCAUUGUCAGAGGUGAAAUUCUUGGAUUUUUGGAAGACGAACUACUGCGAAAGCAUUUACCAAGGAUGUUUUCAUUAAUCAAGAACGA
rnacentral:rRNA from 1 species